CUCAAUAUUAGAAAGGUGUUCCUAAUGUUUGGUAUACUCAGUGUAUAUCUCAAUGGUUAGCAUUUUGUAUUAGACAGUAAGUGGUGUGCUUUCAGAUGAUUGAAUGAGAAUAUCUUCACUCUCCUGUGUACACUCCUCUUCAGGAUGAGACUGCAAGGAAUUACUUCUCUGCCUACUGGAAGUAGAUUGGGCUAAUUGUCUUUGGCUCUUUUCUCCUCCUUAUAUUUGACCUGAGUGAGAGGGGUGUUCAUGGGAUGAAUCCAUUCCACAGCAUCUGGUCAUCAGAUAUAUCCUUCAGACAAUAACUGCAUCUAUUUGUCUAUGAUACAAACCCACUAUUACAUUAUAACUACAACUAUAAUGUUGGGAGCAUUAUCCUCAUUAUCCAUGUAUUAUAACAAAAUACAUUGUAUUCUCCUUAACCUAAACCACAGAUGGCCUUCAUCAUUGUGGCUAGUAUCUCUGUGUGCCUGUACUUCCUCUUCCUGUGUGUCAUGGUGUACCAGGUAUUCCAGAACAUCAGUCGGAAAAUAGGCCAACUGCCGGCCAUGACAGAGAACAGAAGACUACGCUAUAAGGUGUUAUCAGGGCAUUCUCUUCAGGUUCAAGUUCCUGAUGUUGGUCACUCUGGCGUGUGCCGCCGUGAUCGUCAUCUUCUUUAUCGUCAGUCAGGUGAGAGCAACAAUAAUAUCCUGGAGUGAUGGGUCACAUGGGUCAAUUUGUUCGGUUUUAAGAGUAGAAUAACCCUCCCUCUUGUGUGUUUCAGUUACAUAAAUUCCUAUUUUAUUGUAUUGCAUUCUAUUCUAUUCCAUUCCACCAGGUUAUUGAAGUCAACUGGCGAUUGGGUGACUACUCUUUCCGCUUGGGUGACUACUCUUUCCAGGUGCACAGUCACAGUGCCUUUCUCACAGGAACCUACGGCAUGUGGAACCUUUAUGUGUUGUCCAUCCUGUUUCUCUAUGCACCCUCCCACAAGACACACACUGACAAGACAGAUAACACCGGACCAAAGGUUAACCUCCUCAGACUAUUAAUUUGAAAAUGUUGUUGAGAGGACAGCAUUUAACAAUACAUAACACAUAAUAAUAAAAUCAUAUAAAAUAAAGACAAUAUUGACUUACACAGACAAGGCAGCUAACACUGGAACAACAUGUUAACCUCAGACUCCAUUCAUUUUGAUAUGUUGUUGAGAUCCAUUUUCUUGUUUGUAGUAUAUAGCCGUAUAGGGAAUAUAGUCUAAUUUACUGUGUAGCACUGAUUCUCAUGAUUUAACAUUUAUGAUAUACUGUUGAGAACAGCAUUUGAUAUAAAACAAACAAAAUAUUGACUUUGUGUUUGUCAAACAUUGUUCCACCCAUAGACCAUAUAUACACCAGGCCACUGAGAAGUGUCUUGUUUACCUGUGUACUGUGGGUAUCUUGGAGAUGUUGAGUGAAAAGGAGAUCUGUCUGCCCACCACCACCUGUAACCUACCUGAGCAGCACGGCCCGAAAGAGACGGACAGGACCACUGAUCACCGCAAAGAGGACCAGGAGUCGCAGAGCAACCAGCCACUUGCAGAGUACAGUGACAUCCAGUAUACCUUAUACCACAGUAUACCCUGAGCACAAACAAACAAUACCACAUACCCCGAGUACCUCACUAUAUCCCUAAUAGCACAUACCCCGAGUACCUCACUAUAUCCCUAACAAACAGUGUCCAUAUUGUGUUCAUAAUUAAUGUGAAGAUUUUAUGACAUGCUCCUUAUGAUUUGUCAAUUUUUUAUACACUUUGCAACCGAUAGACACUAUGAUAUUCUACCUUAUUAUCAAUAUAUAAAUACAUGUUCAUGGUCUAUUUAUUAUAGACUAUUUGUCAUGACCAUGUAUUAAAAUUUUGUAUUGACUGUUACAGUAUGUGGGUGUCAAUAAA